GACGAACGCUGGCGGCGUGCCUAAUACAUGCAAGUAGAACGCAGUUGCGAACGGGUGAGUAACGCGUAGGUAACUGCCUCAUAGCGGGGGAUAACUCUUGGAAACGAUAGCUAAUACCGCAUACUGUGAGAUGUACCUGCGUUGUAUUAGCUAGUUGGUGAGGUAAAGGCUCACCAAGGCGACGAUAAAUAGCCGACCUGAUAGGGUGAUAGGCCGCACUGGGACUGAGACACGGCCCAGACGCGUCCGGGAGGCAGAAGAAGGGAGUCUAAGGCAAUGGACGGAAGUGUGAGCAAGCAACGCGGCGUGAGUGAGGAAGGGUUUCGGAUCGUAAAGCUCUGUUGUUAGAGAAGGGGUAACUGACCAGAAAGGGACGGCUAACUACGUGCCAGCCGCCGCGGUAAUUC
rnacentral:rRNA from 1 species